AAAAAAUUCCCCAGAACUAAAUAUAUAAAUAAAAUCUCAACUUUGAAAGAGAAGGAGAAAGACCAAAAAAAACUCACCAGAAGAGACCCACUACUUUCUCUCUCUCUUCAACCCUUUAACUCUCUCUCCAAACAGCCAGGCCCUAGUCUGAUGAAGCCAAAAAUGGCGAAAGAUGAGGGGGAGAGAGUGGUAUUUAUAGAAAAAGAUAAGGUGAUCUGAUUCUCGUGUAGACUCUACAAUGGGAAAAAAAUCUAAGCGGAAACCAAAACCACACCGAUAAAAAUGGCAGGUAACACCUUCUAGAGUUGCAUAAUUAGUUCAUCCAGCAAAA
rnacentral:lncRNA from 1 species